GACGAACGCUGGCGGCGUGCUUAACACAUGCCAGUCGAACGGAAAGGCCCUGCUUUUGUGGGGUGCUCGAGUGGCGAACGGGUGAGUAACACGUGAGUAACCUGCCCUUGACUUUGGGAUAACUUCAGGAAACUGGGGCUAAUACCGGAUAGGAGCUCCUGCUGCAUGGUGGGGGUUGGAAAGUUUCGGCGGUUGGGGAUGGACUCGCGGCUUAUCAGCUUGUUGGUGGGGUAGUGGCUUACCAAGGCUUUGACGGGUAGCCGGCCUGGGAGGGUGACCGGCCACAUUGGGCCUGAGAUACGGCCCAGACCCGUACGGGAGGCAGCGGUGCAGAAUAUUGUACAAUGGGCGGAAGCCUGAUGCAGCAACGCCGCGUGCGGGAUGACGGCCUUCGGGUUGUAAACCGCUUUCGCCUGUGACGAAGCGUGAGUGACGGUAAUGGGUAAAGAAGCACCGGCUAACUACGUG
rnacentral:rRNA from 1 species